rnacentral:rRNA from 1 species
UGGGGAAUAUUGGACAAUGGGCGAAAGCCUGAUCCAGCCAUGCCGCGUGUGUGAAGAAGGUCUUCGGAUUGUAAAGCACUUUAAGUUGGGGGGAAGGGCAUUAACCUAAUACGUUAGUGUUUUGACGUUACCGACAGAAUAAGCACCGGCUAACUCUGUGCCAGCCGCCGCGGUAAUACAGAGGGUGCAAGCGUUAAUCGGAAUUACUGGGCGUAAAGCGCGCGUAGGUGGUUUGUUAAGUUGGAUGUGAAAUCCCCGGGCUCAACCUGGGAACUGCAUUCAAAACUGACUGACUAGAGUAUGGUAGAGGGUGGUGGAAUUUCCUGUGUAGCGGUGAAAUGCGUAGAUAUAGGAAGGAACACCAGUGGCGAAGGCGACCACCUGGACUAAUACUGACACUGAGGUGCGAAAGCGUGGGGAGCAAACA